GGGUGUGGGAUAUUCCUUUAGAAGAAUUAUGGAGCAGCGGGCGCCAUCGCUACUGGAGCUGAGCACCGAGUGCGCUGUGCGCAAUAUCCAUCGAUUGCCAUCGCUCGGAUCCAUUCCAGAUCACAUCGUGCUUCACUUAUUCCGCGUAAGUCAUUCUCGAUCUAGGGAUUUCCUCCUCCUUAGGAUUCCUUCCAUGGGAUUUUCUCAUUCUGGAUUCACUCGUAUUUUGAUUGAUGAGAACCAUUGCUGUUAUUUGAAUCUUUCUAUUGUAGCGAUUUUGAGCAAUCGAUUUUCAUUGUUCUUUAGAGAACUCUAGAGUGUGGGAAGCUAACCGAGGGAGUGUUACAAUUGUUCCUGGCCACGGGUCACAAACAAAUCCAGGACUUUGUGGCACAACACAUCCAUCCAGUUCUAGAGCCCAUUCUCCCAACAAGUAAAAAAUUAUAGCUCCUUUCUUCUGUGUUUCUUAUUCCAAGCUUUCCAGGAUGCUCAGAUCGGUGAUAAGUAUUUCAUAUAACUGAUGGAACUAUUUUCUUGGUUGUAUAAACAGAGGUUUGUUUAUUCAUUUUUUCUAAGCUAGAGUGCUGAAGAUCUGAAUUUCUAGUUUUGUUGACGUGAACCAAAAAGAUUCAAAUCAAGAAGGUAAUAAUUAUUUUUUUCAAAUUUUUUGCAUAGAUAUUUGUAAAUUAUAUUAUAUUUUAUUCUAUAUAAGUCUAAGUAUAUUUUUACCCCUAAAU
rnacentral:lncRNA from 1 species